UACGUAGGUGGCAAGCGUUAUCCGGAAUUAUUGGUCGGAAAGCGCGCGCAGGUGGUUUCUUAAGUCUGAUGUGAAAGCCCACGGCUCAACCGUGGAGGGUCAUUGGAAACUGGGAGACUUGAGUGCAGAAGAGGAAAGUGGAAUUCCAUGUGUAGCGGUGAAAUGCGUAGAGAUAUGGAGGAACACCAGUGGCGAAGGCGACUUUCUGGUCUGUAACUGACACUGAGGCGCGAAAGCGUGGGGAGCAAACAGG
rnacentral:rRNA from 1 species